UUCUCUACUAUUUUUUUUCUUACAUUAAAAUUGACAAACUGUAUGGUAUAAAAAAAAACAAAUUAAGAAUAAUACCGGGCUUUCUUAAAUCUAUGGCUUUAAUUACUCGGUAGAAACCAAUAUAUUAUCCUUUGCCUUGCUUUUCCCGCGCAAUAUUCCGCGUCUAUACGAAAUUACUAGCCACCUAAAAGAGCUCUCUUAACCGGCCUAAUUGCCGCUAAAAUUCCACGGCCUAAACUAUCAGAUCGAAUCACAAGGACUCAAGAUAAUUUUACUGUAACACCUCCUAGCCUUUGAAAAUAAACGCGGUAUUUUUCCCUUACAAACUGAUUAUUACUUAAAUCCUAAGAACUAUAACCUAUCUUAUUACUAAAUCUUUAUACUGAAUAUUAUAUUUUUUUUCUCGAAAUUUAUGAUUAUUAACUCUUUUUUUCUUUUCUUUUAGUUCCAAAAAAGGAGACAGCAAAUUUUAUGGACGUCACAUAUAUAUAUAAAUAUAUCUAUCAAGGACAACACAACGUUUACGCUUCUUUCCGGAGGAAACAGAUUUUGAACGCCAGGCAAACCCUGAAAUGAAGCUGGACUUGUUGACUGGUCCUUUUACAAUGCCGGCGUUCUGGGCGGGAUCAAUAACAGGCACAGCAAAAAGCUCAAAGUUGCAGCUGGCCAGUUUACAAUUCAAAUCUCCACACCCUCAAUGUAACUUUUUUUGGCUUUUUUCUCCUGUGGACAACUUGCCACUACCUUGCGUUACCAAAAAGAAAAGGCAAUUUCCCGCCGUUGUGCUGACCAAAACCGGACAAUUUUCGGUGCUUCCAAAAAAGCUUGAUACACCACCGGAAUAUUCCUGUUGGAGCAACACACAUCACAUAUAACAACACAUUACUCAACAAACCACUGUUACAAACUACUUACACAAUAAAAAAAUCGCAACACACAAAUUAAA